AGAGAGUCAAGUCUGGUAGUGACAUUUGAAAUAACAGUAGAAACACGAGUCUGGUAUUGAUAUUUGACAUCACAGCAGAGAGACAAGUCUGGUAUUGAUAUUUGACAUCACAGCAGAGAGACAAGUCUGGUAUUGAUAUUUGACAUCACAGCAGAGAGGCGAAUCUGGCAUUGAUAUUUGACAUCACAGCAGAGAGGUGAGUCUGGUAUUGAUAUGUGACAUCACAGCAGGGAAUCUAUUUUGGCAUUGCUAUUUGACAUCGGGUUUCACAACGCUUUCUUUCCAAUCUCCUUGUGUUUCAGGUCUUGGACCUGUUCCUGGGCUCCUGCACUCUGAUAUCCAUCUCACCCGCUUGUCUUGGAUCUGCUCCUGGGCUCCUGCACUCUGAUAUCCAUCUCACCCGCUUGUAAGUAUCCAUCACAGCCGGCGUGGAAACCUGGAGGUUCCCUCCAGAUUUCGUGACGCUUUCAUCACCAGUGGACUUAACUUUUUCGCCGUGAGUUAGAGCUCGCUGGAGGAAGACCUCUGC
ensembl:lncRNA